UUUUGUUUGAUUUGACCAAAACACAUAUUCUUUUCCGGACACCACUUAUAAACUCCUUUUUCUAACAUUAAAUAUAAGAUGAUGAUGAUGAUAUCUACCGCCAUCAAUGGGACACCUACUACGCACUCUACAAAGAUUAUCUGUAAUCUCUUCAAAGCUGCGGUUUAUACCUCCCAGUUUGCAUAUGUGGAAACUAAGGCUCAGCGACCUUAAUUAACUUGUCCAAACAUGUCCACCCAACAAAGAGCAGAACCAUUUGUUGAGAAUCCAGAUGAUUUUAACUCCAGAGCCCAGGUUCCUUCCAGUUCCCACCGCCCGUGUCAUCUUGGGCAAGUACUUCCCCUCUUCAUUUCUCUACCUGCACAAAGAAGGGAACAAAAAAGUACCCAACUGAGCAGGGUCACUUAGAUGAAAAGAAAGAAUCCGUGUAAAAGUCCUGGCACAGAACACCAGUUAGAGCAAACAGAUGUGGAGAAGCAAUUCCUGAAGAGAUAGACCACUGGCAAAUGUCAGAACACACAUGGUUUCUGGAAGCUUCCCAGGGGGCUGCUUUUUCACAUAGGAACAGUGGCACCCCAGCCACUAGAGGAACACUGCGUUUUGAAAGAAGAUUCUAAUCAAAGAAGAUUCUUACCUCAUUAGAAUUCACAUGGAAGGAGUUCCACAUGGAAGGCCCGGUCUGGAGUAAGUGUGAAAAGUGCAUCUUUCCAGCGUUUCUCAAAUAGUACUCCAUCAUAUGCCUUGACAUUCAAUCAGUCUCAUCACCAAAACCAAGAGUGGCUGGACCUCAAAUAAUGGGAACUUUGAGGAAGCUGAGAAAAAAAGUGUCUGGGAUGUGAUUUCACUUCAUCCAAAUCUCCUGUGAGCCUCUGGUUAUUCUCUCCUGAAUGCAAGGCCUACGAAAAGUGGUCUUGAGUCACAGCCUGAAAGGCCGAGUUCUUGUAGGACAAAAAUAAUCCCAAUCAACUGCUGGCCCUGCUGGGUCCAUCUGUUAUUGGAAUUAAGUCCUUCUUUUCAUUUUAUUCAAACUGAAGAAACUUUCUGGCAAGGUGUCAGGUUUCAAACAGAAAUGUCAGCCAAGGGCUCGUGAGGCCAAGGUCUGAGCAAACUUGAAUCAAUUUAUGCUUUGGGUAAGAAUUCACUUGGAAUUUAGUGGUCUGGUGCGCCCAUUUGUGAAAUGCUCCUCAUUUGCAAGUGCUGGACUAAAUCUUGCAAGGAGCUGGGUAUAAAGUCAACAUCAGAGGCCCAUGUGACUUCUACCCUAUGUGAGGGUUAGCAGUAAAUGGGUUGCGGGGCACACUAGAGUGAUCUUCCCCAGCAUAAGAGCAGAAAAGAACUGGGACAUGUUCUAAGUUCUAACUUAGACCUUGCUCUAUAUAUGAACCAGUCAAAACUAACCCUAUUGAUGAUAAUAACAGCAAGAGCCUUUAAUGAAUACUUACUAUAUGCCAGGCUCUGUGCUAGGUACCUUACAUUUACUGAUCAAUGAAUCCUCUUGAUAAUUACACAAAAUGGAUUUUAUUAUUUUCUCUAUUUCAUAGUUGAAAAUAAAACAGAGAAACGGAGCUUCAGAAACAUGCACCAGCUUAAAAAGUAAUAAUCCUCACCUGAGGAUAUGUUUUAUUGAUUUUAGAGAGAGAGGGAGGGAGAGAGAAAGAGAGAAACAUUUAUGUGACAGAGAACCAUCGAUUGGUUGCCUCCCAUGGGCACCCUGACGAGGAAUUGAACCCACAACCUUUUGGUGAAUGGGACAAUGCUCCAACCAAAUGAGGCACUCAGCCAGGGCUGCACCAGCUUUUGGCCAGCAAAGACCAGCAUUUGGACAAUUUGCCUCCAGAACAUCUGCUCUUAAUGCUUGUCGGGAACUGACUGGGUAAUGAGCCCACAUGCAGGAAUAUAAAGAAGCUCACUGCAGGGGUAGUUGAAAUAUCGCACCCUGUACAGCACUUUUCAGAACUCAGACUCCAUUUUGGUGUCAAAGAUAUAUAAGCCUCAUAGAAAAACUUGAUUUUUUCCCCUCCUAGCUCUCAUAUAAAGAGAAAGCACUAAGAUAAUUAACUGGAAAAUCAAGUCUCCAAGUCUUUGUACCUCAUACCAGUACACUGGACUGGCCAACAUUCCUCCUCAUCCCAUGGGAUGCUGAAGACUUAUUUAAAUCACUUUUUUUGCACUCUUAGCAUUUGGGUGAAGAUACACCAGGGAUCGUCUAGGAUUCGGACAGCUUUGAAGAUUAGCAUAAAAAGCAACACAGCAGUAAGAAGAAGCUCUGAUGGGGGUUGGCAGGCCUCAGCCACCCACUAAGUGAUUUAUGACUAUACACAUGCUCUUCGCAGCAGGCUUGACUCAAACCCAAACCUAAUCAACAGAUAUAUGAAAAGAUGCCCAACUCCAGGAAUAGGGAUGGAAAUGCAAAUUAAAUGACAUUUUUCACAUAUUAAUUUGUCGAAAAUUUCUAACUUGGAUAAUAUCAAUCAUAGCAACAAUAAGGAGAAACGGGUACUUUCUGCUGAUGAAAAUAUGUAUUGAAACAGUCAUUUUGGAAGUAUUAAAAAUGUUCACCCCCUGUGAGCCAGCAAUUCUUUUUUGGUAUCUACCAUUAAGAAAUGUUUAUACAUAUUCAUAAGAAUGUGCAUUGCACCAUCAUUUGUGCUGUCAAAAAAACUAGAGAUACCACGCAAUGUUACACCGGCAGCUCAUAAAAAGGUAGGUCUCUAUGUCCUGAUAAUAAAAAUUCUUCAGUUAAAAACCCACACAACAUGGUGUCAUCCAAUGCUAUUAACACACCCCCAUGCAUACACACAUGUAUAGAAAUAAAUGGAAAAACACAAACUCAGAGGUGAGAUUAGCUCUGGGGAAGCUCCAGGGAUGACACAGUGGUCAUGUGUACCACCCAACAUUCAUUCACUCAGCAAGUACUGUCUAGAACAUUCUGUGCCAGGCACUGAUGCUGCUUUGUAAUCAAGAAAGCAGACAUAUGUCCUUGCAACCAUGAUUGUUUUGUUAUGUAUGUUUAUAGAAUAAGAAUGUACUCAUAUGUAAUUUGUGUAAGUAAAAAUAAGUAAAAAUAAAAGCAAAUUAAAUACACAUUUUUAUAUUAAUAAAGCAGCAAGUGACUAUUUACUUUGGCUUCUGGCAGUCCUUGCGAACAGUCCCAGCCAUAAAUCACUGCUAUGGCUACUGUAAUCCCUAAAGGGUUCCCUUUGGAUGGUUGGCACAGACAGGGGUGCAGUGACAACCUCGCACAGCACAGACUUGCACAGAGGUUGUUCAUUCCUUCCAUUAAUAUUCCUUGGGAGCAUCAUUAGGCACAAAAUAUGAGUAAAUCCCCAUCAAUUAUAUGCAUAUUCACCAAAAAACAUAUACGGGAAUGGUCUUAGCAUCACGAUCAAGAGCAGCCCCCAAAUGGAAACCACCUAAAUGUACUAUACUCACACAAAAGAAUACUGUAUGCCAAUGAAAAUCAAUGUAUUAAAACCAUAUGCAACAAUGUUGAUGAAGCUCUCCAAUAUAGUGUUGAAUGAAGGAAGCCUGGUACAAGAAUCACCUCCUGCAUAAUUCCAUUUCUAUGACAUUCAAUGACAGGCACAGAGAACAUACAACACUAGAAGGCAGGAUACCCACUACUCCUGGCCGGGAGGAAUACACAGGGUGCAUUGUGGAGACUUUGAGGAGUGCUAGACAUGUUCAGCUUGCUCAGUUAUGGCGAAUGGUUAGUUUAUAAAAAUUUGUUGAGUUUUACAGUUAUGAUUUUUAACUUCUUUGUACGUAUAUUCUACUUUCCUUCGAUAGUUUAAAAAAAAUUAAAACAUAA